CCCGGGCGUCCGGGGUGACUGUGGGUGGAGGAAUCGUGGUCUGAGCGUCGGAGCCAGCCGCGGGCGAAGAGGGAGCGGAGCCGCCAGCCUCCUCCCGCCGCCCGCAGAGCUGUUUGGAUUUGAGGAGGAGCAGCAGCACGGCCUCACGGCAGCAGGGAUGGGAUCAGAGAACAGCGCUUUAAAGAGCUACACACUGGGAGAGCCUCCAUAUACCCUACCAUCUGGACUUGCCGUUUAUCCCGCCGUACUGCAGGAUGGGAAAUGCGCUUCAGUGUUCGUGUACAAGCGAGAAAACGAAGACAAGGUUAACAAGGCUGCCAAGCACUUAAAGACACUCCGUCACCCUUGCUUGCUAAGGUUUUUAUCUUGUACUGUGGAAGCAGAUGGCAUUCACCUCGUCACCGAGAGAGU
rnacentral:lncRNA from 1 species